rnacentral:rRNA from 1 species
CAGUCGCCGCGGUAAUACUGAGGGUGCGAGCGUUAAUCGGAUUUACUUGGCGUAAAGCGUGCGUAGGCGGCUUCUUAAGUCGGAUGUGAAAUCCCUGAGCUUAACUUAGGAAUUGCAUUCGAUACUGGGAAGCUAGAGUAUGGGAGAGGAUGGUAGAAUUCCAGGUGUAGCGGUGAAAUGCGUAGAGAUCUGGAGGAAUACCGAUGGCGAAGGCAGCCAUCUGGCCUAAUACUGACGCUGAGGUACGAAAGCAUGGGGAGCAAACAGGAUUAGAUACCCGAGUAGUCCCUGUCUCUUAUAC